AUAUGGAUUAUUAAUCAGUUAAGUUAUGUAUUACUGAUUUCAUCUUAGUAGCAAUCGAAUUAUACAUGAGUUAGAUCUAUUAGUAUAUACACAAUUAGCAUAAUCUGGAACAGAAAUAUUAAUGUGCUCAAAGAACAUAAUCAGGAAUAGUUCUUGACAAAACUCAAGUUUGAUUUUUUUUUCCUGAAUACCCUUUCUAAUAACACUUAUAAUCAUCCUGCAUUGAUACAUAGUUUUUUUCUUUGGUCUCAAUCCUGCACAAUAGUUUCUUUCAAGAAUACUUCUCCUCUUGACAAAAGAAAAUGAUCUAUAAAACUGGCGCCAUUUACUGACAUUUGCAUCAUAAUUGGUUAGUGCCCUAAUUGCAAGUGUUCUAUUCAAGGGAAUGUCCUGAGUAUUACUUGAGAAAUUCUGAAGUUGCGAUCGAUUGCAACUGUUCAUAAUGACCACAUUCUUAAGUUAAUACAUCAUGAGCUUGUUAUAUUUCUUUCCACAUUCUCUGUAUAUUUCUUUCCACAUUCUCUGUAUCUGAAUAUGCAUUUUUGCAAUUAUCUGACAAAUAUAUAAAGAAUAUAAUAUUUUCUGAGGAGAUAUUUUUUUCUGAAUAUCGCUCCCUCAUCCUAUUUGUUCUGUUGGGUGGAUGUUAUCACUUUGAUGGGUCUAUCAACGGGUUGUUCCAUUAUCAUUUGAAUGCACCCAUAAUAAGAACUAACAAUUGAGAAACAACAAUUUUCCUUAAAAACUAAGGAAUGUUGUUUCAAGCUUUUGCUGUUGUGCCACUAGCCCACCAGGACAAUCUGGCUUAACUUAUGUCUCUUGCUCUUGAUCUCCUUCUAUCAGUCAGUCUAGGUCCAACUAAUUUGUGUUCACCUCCUGACAUUUCUAGGGAUAUGUAAGAUAUUGAAGAUGGAAAUUGCUACCGCCUACAAGGUGCUCGAAAUCAUGACCUCUGGCAUUUAAAAUGUGUGAAAGACUGUGGUUCUAAACUUUAUUUUUGUUUUCCGUGUAACUACAUUGUUGUGUUUAUUCAUUGUGCCAUAGCUAGAAGCUAGACCGGAACAACUAUGGU
rnacentral:lncRNA from 1 species